AGGUAUGAAAUAAUUUCCUAUUGAAGUCAUCUUAACAUGGAACCAGAAUUAAAUCCUAACAACAAUCAUGUGAGCCUGGGGAGGAUCCUUCCCCACGUGAGCCUUCAGGGGAGACUUCAGCCUUGGCCAUCUUCUACAUCUAGAUUCCUGACCAAGAGAAGCUGUUUAGAAUAGUUCACCAGUGAAGUCAUCUCAACCAGCACAGGGCCUUGACUCCUAACAACAAUCACACGAACUUGGAAGAGGAGCCUUCCCCAACUGAACCUUCGCUUGAGACCUCGUCCUUGGCCAUCCUCUACAUCUGGAUUCAUGAUACAGAGAAACUUGAGUAAUGAUGACACUAGCAGUCCAGCCUGCAUGGAUGCUGACAUGGAUGCUGUCUCCCAUUCUUACCACUGGAUGGGAAGAAAUGCUAGAUGCAAUCCAGCCAGUCUGUACUCGACUGUCAGUUCCAUCUUCUCAACUCACAGUGUCUUCCAAAGUCCGUGCCACACCACAGCCUGGAACAUCUCCCAAGGUUUCAAAUAAUUCAUCAGUGAAUUCUUCUCAACCUGGUCAAUCAUGUGAACUUAGAAGAUGAUUCCUCCCCAGCUGAUCCUCAGGUGAGACAUCAGCCUUGGCCAUCAUCUACAUCUGGAUUCCUGACCCAGAGAAACUGCCUCUCUGGAUGGUGACUAUAACCUAUAGCCUUGCCCAAUAUGACUCAGGAUUUGGUACUGGCUGUGCCUUUCAUGGGAUGCUUACUUAUCCUGGUCGAUGGCCUAAAGCCCAACCGUCCAGCUUAUAUCCAGGGUCUCAAGCCACCCAGGCUGGAGUGCAGUGGCACAAUUAUGGCUCACUGUAGCCUCACCUUCCUGGGAUCAAGCAAUCUUCUUUCUUCAGCCUCCAGAGGAGCUGGGACCACAGAUCCUUUGGCAUUUGAGAGUUGCUUUGUGUAUACGGUCCUUUAACGGAGCAAAUGGCCAGCCAGGAAACCAAAGUAUGGACAAGGGGAAAGAAGCGUCUGUGGAGGAAGUUUUACAAGCGCCCUCCUCAUCCAUUUGGGUGGUGUUGCCCAUAUGCUACAUGUCUGUGGACCACUAUGUGUGUUUAAAGCUUUUUAGUAAAACGUUACUAAAAACUAUGACUCACUGUGGUGAAAAAGGUGGCAAAACAGUGACAACACAACACGGAGAUGCAUUGACACCCUUCUUCAAUCCAGAGGAUGGGCCAUCAACUCACAAAAGUACAAGGCCUGGAACCAGCUGCAAAGUUCCUAUGGAUCACUUGGCCAGAAACAGGUUCUAACUAUGUUGCCCAAGCUGGUCCUGAACCGCUAGCCUCAAAUAAUCCUCCUGCCUGAACCUACCAAAGCAUUGGUAUUACAAGUUUGACCCACCGUGAUCUGUCCAGAGUGGGAAAUAGAAUCUUAACAACUAUCACAUGAACUUUGAGGGUAUCCUUCUCCAGAUGAGCCUUCAGUUGAGACCUCAGCCUUGGACAUCAUCUGCACCUGGAUUCCUGACCCAGAG
rnacentral:lncRNA from 1 species